GUAUUAGUCCAUCGGCAGCCAACAAGCAAAAACAGCUGAAGCAGAGGUUUAUGGAGGGGGGGGUGCACCGCUUACACCCACCUC